rnacentral:rRNA from 1 species
UUUAUUAGAUUUCAAACCAAUAUUCCGAAAGGUCUACUGAGAUGAUUCAUGAUAACUGAUCGAAUUGCUGGGACUUCUAGCAAUAAAUCAUCCAUGUUUCUGCUUCCCAUCAGCUUGAUGGUAGUGUAUUGGACAACCAUGGCAUUCACGGGCUAUCGGGGGAUUAGGGUUCGAUUCCGGAGAGGGAGCCUGAUAAACGGCUACCACUUCUACGGAAGGCAGCAGGCGCGAAAAUUAUCCAAUCCUGAUUCAGGGAGGUAGUGAAAGAAAUAAUGAACUAGGAUUUAUCCUGGGAUCACAAUGGGCUUGAUUUGCAAACACUUUGCGAGGAACAAUUGGAGGGCAAGUCUGGUGCCAGCAGCCGCGGUAAUUCCAGCUCCAAUAGAGUAUAUAAACGUUCCUGCAGUUAUUCGAUGCUCGUAGUUGGAUUUCUGGAGUUGAGACGGGAGGGUGGCUAUGGCCAUCGCCCGACUCUUUCUUCAUCCACCUGUUUGCGAAUCCCGGGAUUCGUUUCUCGGUUUCGGGCGCAGGUAUCUUACUAUUUCAAUAUUUUGUAAUCUUCAUCGAUUAUGUAUGUUUCUUUGAGCAAAUUAUAGUGUUUCAGGCAGGCGUGCGCCGGAAUACAUUAGCAUGGUAUAAACGAAUUGGACCGUGUGCCUGUAACAGGGCUUUUCCUUAUUUGUUGGUUUGAAGGACACGGAGAUGGUUAAUAGGGACAGAAUUUAUUUCAGGGGGAGGCACUAGUAUUUAAUUUCCAGAGGUGAAAUUCUUUGAAAUAUUAAAGACUAACUUAUGCGAAAGCAUUUAUUGCCAAUGAUGUUUUCAUUAAUCAUUGAACGAAAGUUAGGGGAUCAAAGACGAUCAGAUACCGUCCUAGUCUUAACCAUAAACGUUGCCGACUAGGGAUCGGAGGGCGUGCACAUUCCGCCUUCGGCACCUUACGAGAAAUCAAAGUCUUUUGGGUUCUGUGGGUAGUAUGGUCGCAAGGCUGAAACUUAAAGGAAUUGACGGAAGGGCACCACCAGGAGUGGAGCUUGCGGCUCAAUUUGACUCAACACGGGAAAUCUUACCAGGUCCAGACAUAGCGAGGAU